rnacentral:rRNA from 1 species
UACGUAGGAGGCAAGCGUUAUCUGGAAUUAUUGGGCGUAAAGCGUCCGCAGGUGGCGAUUCAAGUCUGCGGUCAAAGCCUGGGGCUUAACCCUGGAAAGGCCGUGGAAACUGAAUAGCUAGAGUGCAGUAGGGGUAGAGGGAAUUCCCGGUGUAGCGGUGAAAUGCGUAGAGCUCGGGAAGAACAUCGGUGGCGAAAGCGCUCUGCUGGACUGCAACUGACACUCAGGGACGAAAGCGAGGGGAGCGAAUGGG